rnacentral:lncRNA from 1 species
ACAGUAUUCAGUCUUCGUUACAUUUGAAGGCUGGUGAAUCUGUUUGCUAGUUGGAGAAAAAGAUAGGGCUUGUAUAUCACAUUUCAUUUUCAAGAGUGUAAUCUUAAGUUAUUUCACAUGCAUGUUUUAGCACUGGCUAGUCAACAAUAGAUAGCAUUCGGCUGAAUGAGGACUUUUAAAGUAAAAGCUUUUGAAAGUUUUAAAUUUGUAAGUGUACUUGAAUACAAUUUAUCAGUACAUCAGAUGUUUUUCCAAGUUGGUAAGUUACCCAGCCUCUGGAGGAAGGCUCCUGAGACAAGGAAUAAAGUCGUCUUUUCCUUUAUAAUGGAACGUGAGACCUACCCUGCAGGGUUGUUUAGUAAGCUAAGCCAAAGUAUUGGGGAUUGCAGUUUCCGUUUGUUGGUUUAUUGUCCAAACAUUGUUCUGUGAAAGAAAUGUAAAAAAAUCUUUCCUUGAAACUGAGUAUGAUAGCUCAUACCCUUAAUCCUAGCACUCUGGGAAGGCAGGAGUGGGUUGAUAAAACCUCUCCUUUAAAGAAAAGAACAGCUACAGAAGUCUCAGAAGAGGCCAGAGCAGUGUCUAUACCUAUCACCCUUCACUCAGAGCUUGCCGAAGCACAAUUUUCAUAAUUCCCUCUAAUCUUUAUCGUUCCAGCGGGAGUCUCUUGUCUGGCUUCAUCUUUAUAGCAUCCCAGGAAAGGGAACAUUAAACAUAAAUGUGUGUGAAGUGAUAGUUUGGUUCUCCCAAGAGCCUUGAUUGGCAAAGAAUAACAAGAGUGUCUAGGACAGAAACUCACAGAAUACAGACCAUGAGGACUGCUGUGUGGACCUAGCAACUACCAGGGGAUUGUGUCAUUUCUGGCCCAUCGUCAGGGUGGCAGCUCUUUUGCUGAAAGCGACCAUAGCCAAAGAACUUUCUUGGGCUAAUCCACACAGUGAUUUCCACUUCUCCUGGGAUACGACAAUGGUUAAGGCUGCUAGGGAACUUGCCCUGUUGGCUUCUUGUUAGCUCUGAAGAACCCCUCCGAUUACUGCUCCAACAAAUGUCUAGUUUGCUCUGGGCCUGGAAACAAUGGUUUCUAGAGAGCUGCAUCUUAUCGUUUGGAAUUUUGGUUCAAGCCUCUUCAGCAUGCUUAGCCUUGAACAUUAAUCUGUAGUCCCUGGGGACCAGCGUGUAUUCACCAGCUUCAGGUCAGUGGGAGCAGCAAGCAGUCAGUAGAAUUUCCUAUGUGAGUGAAUGAUCACAGCAGCAUCGGCAGGCAUGUGACAUUCUCAGACCUGUUUCUGCUUUUGUCAUUAGAAUGGACUAAGAUUUGGUACAUCAGGGAUUACCACAGAAGUCAACAAAUUUCAGUUUAGUAACCAGGGAUAUCAGUUUCUUAGCUGUAGUAACGGGGAUUAAAUUGUGUUUAAAAAGUGCCUCAUAACUCAGAUAAUUCCUAAAAUAUCAAAUGAUUCCCCCAAAACCAUUUCCUCAGAGCAGCAGGAGUGCGGCGCCAGGAAUUGCAGUACUCUUAGCUUAGCAGUUCUGUGGCGGAGCUGUCACAGCUCAGCUAGUGUGCUCAGGCCUGUGGUCACCGUUUGAUAGGAUCAGGCUUGUUUUGUUAGUGUUCCUAAACUGUGCAACUAUUUGCAUAGCAUUUCCGAUGUGUUGGGUAUAGAGUUAAUCUAGACUCCAUUUGAAGUCCACAGGAGGAUGUGUGCAGGUUAAACUUGAGCAGCAAAUGCAGCUCCAUGUUGCCUAAGGGAUUGAACCCCUGUGUGCUUUGGUAUCUGAGAAGUUGUAGAAGCAGUCCCCACAGAGGCUGCAGAACUGCUGUGGUCCUGUCUGUGGGAGAUUAUUAGAGCUGAAGAUUUGAUCAAGAUAAUUACCUUAAGAGUUUAGACCCCUCUCUGCUUCCCGAGAGGCACAAGUAAAACUUAACACUAAGUGGUCCAGCUGGAAUGCCAGUGUCUGGAAAUGGAGAGCCAUUGGUAGGGAUGCGUGUAUUGCUGGCAAGGUGCACAGGUCCACUGAUGGUUUGGUAGUUUCUUUAAAAGUAGAACAGCCCAUGUGGACAGCAGUCAAUGAAAGAACAAAUUAUUUAGUAGAUACUGUCUAAACAUCUGCAAGGAAAAACCAAUGCCACAUCUGGGAUGAUCUCUACAGUAUUGUGCUGAGUGAAAGAAGCCAGAAGCAAGCCUAUAUGCAGAUUCCAGUCUAGAAAAUGAAACAAAGCUUACAAAACACAGGGAUUCCUUGGGGACUACAUCUGGAGGGGACAUGGGAUUGACUGUAAAGAGGCACAUGGGAAUAUUCUUUGUCUUAAUUGUGGUUGUGGUAACAACUGUAUAUAGUUGGCCGACCUCAAAAUUGUCCUGUUGAAAUGAGUAUUAUACAUAAAUUUUAUAAAUAAAGUUGAUUUUCUU